AGUCUUGCGUUACCCGGGAUAUCCUGUACACUGGUUUCUAAUACUGGACGUGUUUUUGGAAUUAUCUUUUGUGUGUGUUUUCUGCGGAUUACAGGUGUUUCUGUUCUGUGAAUAUUGCAACACGUUCUGUUGAAUGACGUGACAACCUUACUGGAAAGAGAGAUAUGGGAUCCAAACCCAGUAUCCCCGUGGUAAAACUACCCCGGGAUACGGUAGUCAUAGUUACUGGAGCAAGCUCAGGUGAGGGGGUUUCACCCUUUUUGUUAACCCUCAUUUUCAUCCUCCUUUCACCUGUUUCGAAAAAACCUUCUAGUCACUUCAUUCGAACAAAUUCAAACUAUUUUGUAGGCAUUGAAGACAUCAUUAUGAAAACAUGUAUUUAUAACACUUGUAAUAUGUAUACUUUUAUUGAAUAGGGAAUUCUAAAUUGUUUAUUCAAAUUGCAGUGCCAAUAAAAUACAUUUGAAAUGCCAUUAAAAUUGAAGCUUCUGAAUUAAAAAAAGGGACAUUUAAUGUCUCUGUCAUGACUUGAAUUUUUUUUUUGUUUUUUGAAUAUCUAAAAUUACUUUAUCAAAUUACUUAUAUAUUCAAGCCAAACGUGAAAAUCGUUUUUAAAUUGAAUAGAUGAAAUAUAUACACAAUCGAAAAUUACCAUGCCUUAGAGCCUUUCUGAGUAUGAGGCUCUGAUAAAAAAUGCAUGAAAGAUUGAUCGUUGACAAACAAUAAAUGAAUUCUUAAAUUUCAAAAAAAAAAUAAUCCCUGAUCAUAUUCUUACAAAUUACUGCAGUUCUGAGUAAAAAAAAAUAUUGAUUUUAUCGAUAUACCGUGCAACAACGGCUCAGAAACCCUGGAUCUAUCAUUUUGUCAUUGUGUUGCUCUAAGGCUAUGGCCAGAACAAUGAACACUUGAAGACUGAAGAAACUAAACUCAAUUGAUUUCAUCAAGACUUAGUCAGGAAAAUUGCGUAUUAUUGGGAAAACAUUGAUUUGGAGAGAGAGAGAGAGAGAGAGAGAGAGAGAGAGAGAGAGAGAGAGAGAGAGAGAGAGAGAGAGAGAGAGCGCGCUACAUUUUUGUGUAAGUAGUAUGCACUUUAAUGGAGACAUGUGUGUUUCCUUAAUUCUUUUGUCAAGUUCAUGACAAAUUAACGAAUUAUACUAAUGCUAACGGAGAAACGCUAUUGUGCAAAGUCCUUAAAGGUUUCUGAUCUCUAAAAUAAAAUACGGAUUAAACGAUUUAAACUGUGGUUUAUAUCGUAUAAUGAAGGUUAAAAAGUUUCUAAGCAAGAAGAUGCAUAUUUAUUUCAUCAUGAAAUACAACAUUGUGCAAUUUUUUUAAACUAUGCUAUGUGUUAAACCCUAUAUUUGAAUUAAAACUUAACGAAUUAUUUUGACAUCCCAAUUAGCAUAGGGAAGAAAAUCGUUUUUGCCGGGGUUAUGAUAUUACCUACAUAUGUACAAUGAAAAACACAAAUACCAGCACAAUACCAAUUGUUCCCAAGUUUUUACAAAAUAAAGGUUUAAAUCCCACCUAUGUAACAGACAACGCGCAUUCAAUACCGGAGCUCCCGUCGUAAUGUCGAUAUAUACAGAGGCUGUCCGAGUAACGACCGAGUUAAAUGUAUCUAUCUAUCCGUAUACUAAUUGAUAUGUCUGCGUGAUAGCAUGGGACAGGGAGAACUACAUUGACAUCUAUUUCAAUGAAAGGUCAAGGACGAUUUCAAUACGUCUGACUUAGUAUGAAUAGACGACAAAAUAAGAAUUUCCUGUAUUCAUAACUAAGCAAUAUCUAUAAUCAUUGAUAACUAAAGUGGAAUAACACACCUGGAAAAAGUAUCUCAAAUUGACAGUAAAUUAUUUGAUUAUGAAAGAUAUAAUGAUUAUUAAACUGUACGUAUGUCAAAUAAGC
rnacentral:misc_RNA from 1 species